UCUCCGUUGGUGAACCAGCGGAGGGACCAUUACCGAGUUUACAACUCCCAAACCCAAUGUGAACCAUACCAAACUGUUGCCUCGGCGGGGUCACGCCCCGGGUGCGUCGCAGCCCCGGAACCAGGCGCCCGCCGGAGGGACCAACCAAACUCUUUCUGUAGUCCCCUCGCGGACGUUAUUUUUACAGCUCUGAGCAAAAAUUCAAAAUGAAUCAAAACUUUCAACAACGGAUCUCUUGGUUCUG
rnacentral:misc_RNA from 1 species